UGAGCUAUCCUUGGGCGGUAUGCUUAGUAUGCUAUCAUGGAUGGAUUGGAUUGGUUGGAUUGGAUUGGAUGGAGGUUGUUAUCGUGGCGGGUACUAAAUAUGCGUGAGCUAGUUUUGGCCGCAUGAUUUUUAGUCAUGUGCGAGCUAUCUUUGGUCGUAUAUUUAGAUGCCUUGCCAUGGUUGGUUUGGAUACAGGUAACGGUUAAGGACCAAGCAUUGGUUGUGCUUUCCUGACAGUGGUUGUAGUAUCUCAUUGUGUAGUAUAUACUUAUGCAUUCUAUUGUAUUAUUGGGUUAUUAAAAGAAACGAGAGUCAUGGUGAGAAUUUGAGUCUGAGAGGUCUUUUAUUAAAUUGUAAUUCCUUUGUAACUAGUUCGUAGUUGAAUAUAAACUUUGUUUGGGACUCUGGAUUAUGUUGGAUGAGUGUGUGGUGAGACACACUCGAGGAUAAUUGAGUUUUGAAAAGUAUAGAAGUGUGUCUUUCUUCUA